rnacentral:rRNA from 1 species
UUGCCUACGGGCGGCUGCAGUGGGGAAUAUUGGACAAUGGGGGAAACCCUGAUCCAGCGACGCCGCGUGGGUGAAGAAGGCCUGCGGGUUGUAAAGCCCUUUCGGUAGGGACGAAAGCUCUCGACCUAACACGUCGGGAGGUUGACUUAACCUACAAAAGAAGCACCGGCUAACUCUGUGCCAGCAGCCGCGGUAAUACAGAGGGUGCGAGCGUUAAUCGGAAUUACUGGGCGUAAAGCGCACGUAGGCGGCUUGGUAUGUCGGGUGUGAAAUCCCCGGGCUCAACCUGGGAACUGCAUCCGAAACUGCCUUGCUCGAGUAUGGGAGAGGGAAGCGGAAUUUCCGGUGUAGCGGUGAAAUGCGUAGAUAUCGGAAGGAACAUCAGUGGCGAAGGCGGCUUCCUGGACCAAUACUGACGCUCAGGUGCGAAAGCGUGGGGAGCAAACAGGAUUAGAUACCCCUGUAGUCU